rnacentral:tRNA from 1 species
GAUAAAAUGGCUGACAGUAAGCGAUAAAUUGUAAAUUUAUUUACGAAUAAAAUUCUUUUAUCA